rnacentral:lncRNA from 1 species
AAUUGUUUAAUUACUCAAAUUUAUUUAACAUAUAUCACUUAAACAUUUAAUUCAAUAUGGCAGUUUUUCUGCUACAUCAAAUAAAAUUGAUCAAUUUUCUAAUUUUAUGGAAUUACAAAGUAUUUUAUUAUAAAAUCAUUCUUUAAUUUGAAAUAUUUUCUCACAAACAUCAGUUGGAGAAGUGGCUAAAUAUAUGUAGUCAAUAUCAAGUACUUAGUAGGUAGUGAAAUGUAGUGAAUCUUAAUUAUUCCUGUGCACAAGAAACUCCUGGCGCUGAGGUUGUUUAAUUAUAUAGAUCAAAUGCCCAACAUGUGUGACCCCUUAACGAAGCCGUUCCUUCCUCCCAGGCUUCUUUUCUCAAACACUGUUCAUUUUAGCAGACGAGCUACAACACCUGGGUCCAGAAAUCCACUGUAAUUUAUUUUAUGUGAUAACGUAUGGCAUACCAUAUAUUAUUUCAUUAUUUUAAGUUACACACACACGUUUUUCUUUGUACACAUAUCAUAUUGUAUUUAUUUCCUUGAAAGAAGAAAUAUUGUCAACACUGAACAUUUAUACAUUUCUUUUUCUUGACAUCACUCCAAGAACACAGAGCAACAAGACUAGUAUAAAAUUUACAUGGAAUCCCUAUUAUAAGUAAUCCAGAUGAAUUCACAUAAACAGGAGGAUGAGUGUUGGUUUCAUGUAAACACUCAGUAUCUUGACCCCUCAGAGUUUGUUAUGUGUGAGGGUCCAGGAAUGAAGGUGUCAUCAAAUGACAAGAAACAACAACUUUUAUUCCAUGGAUAUUUUCAAUGCAUGGUUGGCUGAAUACUCUGAUAUGUAACAUAUGGAGACAGCUGACCAGCUGCUUAAAUACAUUCAUAUGUAAAACAAAUCAGUGACCAUCCACUAAAGUGAAUGUGCAUUUAGAAUAUCUGACUACAUUUUCUGAAACAAAGCUAUUG